rnacentral:rRNA from 1 species
UACGGGGGGAGCAAGCGUUGUUCGGAUUUACUGGGCGUAAAGGGCGGGUAGGCGGCCACCGCAAGUCAGUUGUGAAAUCUCUGGGCUUAACCCAGAAAGGUCAACUGAUACUGCGGGGCUAGAGUGCAGAAGGGGCAACUGGAAUUCUCGGUGUAGCGGUGAAAUGCGUAGAUAUCGAGAGGAACACCGGCGGCGAAGGCGGGUUGCUGGGCUGACACUGACGCUGAACUGCGAAAGCUAGGGGAGCAAACAGG